UACGGGGGGGGCAAGCGUUGUUCGGAAUUACUGGGCGUAAAGGGCGCGUAGGCGGCCUACUAAGUCGGACGUGAAAUCCCUCGGCUCAACCGAGGAACUGCGUCCGAUACUGGCGAGGCUUGAAUUCGGGAGAGGGAUGUGGAAUUCCAGGUGUAGCGGUGAAAUGCGUAGAUAUCUGGAGGAACACCGGUGGCGAAGGCGGCGACCUGGUCCAUUACUGACGCUGAGGCGCGACAGCGUGGGGAGCAAACAGG
rnacentral:rRNA from 1 species